GGAGACUGUGGCUCAGUGGGAAUAGUAGUUGUCUUGCAAUACAAAAGCUGUGGGUUCGAUUCCAGCUUCCUCCU